GAUUCGUCACACUAUCAUUAACUGAAUCCAUAGGUUAAUGAGGCGAACCGGGGGAACUGAAACAUCUAAGUACCCCGAGGAAAAGAAAUCAACCGAGAUUCCCCCAGUAGCGGCGAGCGAACGGGGAGGAGCCCAGAGCCUGAAUCAGCAUGUGUGUUAGUGGAAGCGUCUGGAAAGGCGCGCGAUACAGGGUGACAGCCCCGUACACAAAAGCGCAUGUGCUGUGAGCUCGAUGAGUAGGGCGGGACACGUGGUAUCCUGUCUGAAUAUGGGGGGACCAUCCUCCAAGGCUAAAUACUCCUGACUGACCGAUAGUGAACCAGUACCGUGAGGGAAAGGCGAAAAGAACCCCGGCGAGGGGAGUGAAAAAGAACCUGAAACCGUGUACGUACAAGCAGUGGGAGCACAGGUUUACCUGUGUGACUGCGUACCUUUUGUAUAAUGGGUCAGCGACUUAUAUUCUGUAGCAAGGUUAACCGUAUAGGGGAGCCGUAGGGAAACCGAGUCUUAACCGGGCGUUAAGUUGCAGGGUAUAGACCCGAAACCCGGUGAUCUAGCCAUGGGCAGGUUGAAGGUUGGGUAACACUAACUGGAGGACCGAACCGACUAAUGUUGAAAAAUUAGCGGAUGACCUGUGGCUGGGGGUGAAAGGCCAAUCAAACCGGGAGAUAGCUGGUUCUCCCCGAAAGCUAUUUAGGUAGCGCCUCGUGAAUUCAUCUCCGGGGGUAGAGCACUGUUUCGGCUAGGGGGCCAUCCCGGCUUACCAACCCGAUGCAAACUGCGAAUACCGGAGAAUGUUAUCACGGGAGACACACGGCGGGUGCUAACGUCCGUCGUGAAGAGGGAAACAACCCAGACCGCCAGCUAAGGUCCCAAAGUCAUGGUUAAGUGGGAAACGAUGUGGGAAGGCCCAGACAGCCAGGAUGUUGGCUUAGAAGCAGCCAUCAUUUAAAGAAAGCGUAAUAGCUCACUGGUCGAGUCGGCCUGCGCGGAAGAUGUAACGGGGCUAAACCAUGCACCGAAGCUGCGGCAGCGACGCUUAUGCGUUGUUGGGUAGGGGAGCG
rnacentral:rRNA from 1 species